rnacentral:rRNA from 1 species
GAUGAACGCUGGCGGCGUGCCUAAUACAUGCAAGUCGAGCGAACGGACGAGAAGCUUGCUUCUCUGAUGUUAGCGGCGGACGGGUGAGUAACACGUGGAUAACCUGCCUAUAAGACUGGGAUAACUUCGGGAAACCGGAGCUAAUACCGGAUAAUAUUUUGAACCGCAUGGUUCAAAAGUGAAAGACGGUCUUGCUGUCACUUAUAGAUGGAUCCGCGCUGCAUUAGCUAGUUGGUAAGGUAACGGCUUACCAAGGCAACGAUGCAUAGCCGACCUGAGAGGGUGGUCGGCCACCCUGGAACUGAGACACGGUCCAGACUCCUACGGGAGGCAGCAGUAGGGAAUCUUCCGCAAUGGGCGAAAGCCUGACGGAGCAACCCCGCGUGAGUUAUGAAGGUCUUCGGAUCGUAAAACUCUGUUAUUAGGGAAAAACAUAUGUGGAAGUAACUGUGCACAUCUUGACGGUACCUAAUCAGAAAGCCACGGCUAACUACGUG